UUAGACAGUUCUUUCUUCUUACACACUCUAGUAUUUUCAGAGCAGAAGUGACAGCAAUGUCAACUCUUUGGACAUCUGCUCCAAGUCUCAUUCUGGCAAGGGCAGAACUAUAAAAGACUUUGUCUGUCUGCCUGACAAUUUCAUCUCUCAGAAGGUAGAGGAACUGGUGAGGAAAAUGGCUGCUCUCAAGUGAAUUCUGAUCAGUAAAAAAGGAACUGGUUGGAAAUGUGGAAAUACUGAGAAUCUCAGGAGAGAUGUUUUCAUUAUCUUCGCCCCCUCACAGAACUCCUACAGCUCUUUAUUUAGAUCUUUUCUUACUUCUCCUUAUAAUAUUGUCACUUAUAGACUUGUGUCUCUAAGAUUGUCCCUUGAGGACUGGGACCACAUCACAUCAUCUUUGUGUCUGCCAAUGCUUGGGGCAGUUAUCUUUUAAACAACAACAAAAAAAAUCGAUCAAAUGUGUUUAGUUGGAAUAUGAGCAUAGCGACUUGCAUAAUUUCAGGAUAAUGUGACAACAUUUUUUAAGAAUUUUUUUUCUUGAUCAUAAAAUGUUUUCAUUGUUGAAAACUGGAAAAAUUAUUCAGGGAAGUAUAAAUGAGAAAAUACAACCUUUCUAUAAUCCUCUCACUUGAUAAGCAUUUUGAAGUACUUUCUCCUUGUUAUUUAUUUUUGAGACAUUCUAUCUCUCUUGUCACCUAGGCUACAGUGUAGUGGCAUGAACACAGCAGCCACUGCAACCUCAAACUCCUGGGCUCAAGCAAUCCUGUCUGAGCCUCCCAAGUGGCUAGGACUACAAGUGUGUGCCACCACGCCAGGCUAAUUUUUAAAAUUUUUUUGUAGAGGUGAGUCUUGCUACAUUGCCCAGGCUUGUCUCACUCAAUCCUCUGGCCUUGGUUUCCCAGUGUUGAGAUUACAGGCAUAAGCCACUGUGCCCAGCCUCUCCUUGGGUUUUAUACUUAUUUCAUACUUUUGAUCAUACUGUAUCUACAGUUGUUCCUAACACUUUUUAUUCACGUUAUAUCCUAAGCAUUUUCCAUGUCAUUAUCUUCAUUUUAAAAUGACUUCAUAUUAUCUUGCAUGUCUUUAGCAUAACCACUGUCAUUUAAAAAAUAAAGCAACAUAGGGAUUUACACUGGCUACAAGUUCUAAGAAUUGUGGUAUGUCUGAGAAGUCAAAAAGGAAACCAUUUCAUCUGUAAUAGUAAGAUCCGGCAGGGCAGGGGAGACAGGUGAAGCCCCAAGUUCUCCCUCCGGUUUUGGGUUUUAUCCUGAGUCAACUGUGGUACAUCUGGAAGGGGAGUUGAUGAUGUGGAGUGACCAGGGCUGACGACGAAGAGUUAAAGCUGGAAGGAAUGCUCAACCCACAGAAGAGCAGAAACAUGGAGUCACGUUUCCACACUUGAAGUAUGACUGACUGACUCUGUGGCAUCCUGGUUGGCAGCACUAGGGCCAGUAACUGGGAAUUUCAAAGUCACAAUUUGGACUCCUCUGCAAAUAAGUUUGAGAGCUGUUCCCUAAAGACACCUGAUGCCUUGUGAGGCAGGCAGUACCUGGUCCCCCAAGGUGUUCAAGUAGGGCAAGUGGCUUCAAGGAUACUAGAGGAUAGGCAAUCCCUGCAGUCUGGUUUAUGGUCUGGGUCUUGUGUAAGCACUGGAAUAGCCUAAAUCAAAUCUUAAGUCUCUCAGAGUCGCAUUAAAAAAUCGUAUUAUUUAAUUCAAAGCCACGUUUUCAAUUCUGAGCAGCCCAGAGACCUGCCAUCACUUGCUCGUGCCGAGUCACGUGGUGUGGCAAGGCGUGUGGUUUCCUCCCUAGCCGCCCCCAGCUUCCCCGAACCUUCAAAGUCACAUUUCAGUCACUCCCCAUCUGACCAACAAAGCUCACAAUGAGGGCGCUGCCAGCACAGGUGACAGCCUGCGCUCCAGUCUGAGGAGGAACCCCAAAUUCAAGACCCCUGUGACCCAGCCUGUGUGCCCCGAGAGGCUAAACCUCAGCUCAGGGGCUUCCCGAUGUCGGCCGCCGCGGGUCUGGGUUUCCGGCCUGCAGAGCUCGCGUCUGACGGCUGAGAAACAAAACGCCCUCCCUCUAGCGGCUCAAGCGCACACACUCUCUUGCCCUCCGCAGCCCCCGAGCGAGUCACCGGAGACUCUCUGGAGCCAUUUCGCGAGGCUGGAAUUCCUUCGCCCGGCGGAGCUCGGCGCGCACCCCUCAGCUGUGCCGAGGACCCUGCACCCGGGGCGCCCCGCGGCCACGUGACCGCCAUCUGGCUCUCGGCCUGGACUGAGGGGGCUGAGCUCAUCGCGUUGCUAUUCGAGGGGCAGAGACUGCCUGGCCUUCCUCAAACCCUGAGCUCCCGGCUCUCCUCCCUCCCCCACCUACUUGACAUCUCAGGCUUUUUGUGGAAGCGGCAGGGCGGUUGAGAGGUCGGUGACCUUUGCCCCAGUGGCGCUGGCUCUUUUCCUUUUUGGCUACCCUAAUGGAAUGAGGAUAUAAUCAGUCAUAUCUUAACAUUCACUGAGCCCCGGCUCAGGCUGGGAGGCACUGCCUUUUUCCUAGUGAAUUUUAAAUCAGUAUUUGUGGGAUUUAAGCUCCAGCGGACAAACCUAGAGCCACUGGCCAUGAAAGGUGUGGCAGUGAGGUGAAAAACGGGGCUUCCCCCUCCACUCCCUGGCUUUCCUCAUCCCAGCCCAAGGCGGGGGGGCGGGGGCGGAAUACGUAGACCACAGAGCAUUAGCCACACCCUCUUUCCUCCAACCCCAGAAUUCCACGUCAGUCUCAGAGCUUUCAGCUAGGUGGGGUUUAUCCCCAAAGGUGCCACAACCCCUCUAGUUGUAUGGGAGCGGUAACUGUGAACCACCAUCGCUGGCUCGAUCCUCCCUUUUCCGUGGAUUGGUGCUCCUGAGUGUGUUUACCAGUUUCAGUACGUAACACAGCCAGACGGAGGGCCGCGGGCUUCAGCGGCGAGAAGCUACAAAAAUAAGAGACACAUGAUACUAAUUUGCCACCUACUGUUCCAGUGCUGCCUAGUGACAGAUGACUCAUCUGCUGGGCCAGAGGGCUGAUCAUCGAUGCGGGCUGUAGUGACAUGGUGUGCUCCAUUGAGGGAGUUAACACGGCACCCUGGGAAGUUGGAGACAAGAGCAAAAUUAGACAAACUGAGGCAAGAGUCAAGAUCCUGUAAUUACCUUUUGCAAAGGAAAUACCUUAGUUUGUUUAAGAAUGUGAAGCAAAAACAAGCUCCCUCAAUCUUGCAAAUGGCAUCAUAAACAGUUUCCUAAAAAUCUUCUAAA